UGGCUUUGGCAAAGGUGAAAUUACCUCCACUUUCCUUCCACUUUUCUUUUGCAGCCUCUCAAACACCUUUAGAGGGUCUGCUGCUUUGCCUUUCACCACCACCUUAUUAUCUUUGCUAUCUGUGUUUACCUCCUCCACUCCUUCAAAUCCUUUCAAGGAUCGAGCAACUUUUCUUGCACAAGCUUCACAAUGCAUGACAACCUUAAGUACUAUCUCAGGAGUCUCUUCCUCUUUCUUCUCUUCUUCAUUCUUCUUAUUUUCCUCCUCCUUCAAUUCUUCUUUCUUUUCUUCACCCAUUUCUGCAGCUGAAGAGCUGUACUGAGAAAUGUAUUUGGUUUUCAGAGCUUUGUUCUGGUGAGGCUUGGUGGAUGAAGAUUUAUGCAGAGUGGAGGCUUCUGGAAGUGUGACGUGGAUUUGCACAAGAGUGAAUCGUAAUUUUAAGAGAAAAUUGCUUUUAUCGUAGUUUAAUUGGUUUUUCAAAAAGGGUAGAAAGUCUCGAGUUCUCCAUCAUCUAUUUUUUC
rnacentral:misc_RNA from 1 species